rnacentral:misc_RNA from 1 species
AAGUCGUAACAAGGUUUCCGUAGGUGAACCUGCGGAAGGAUCAUUACCAAAUAUUCAAAAUAUCCAAACCCAUGUGCACGAUGGAACUGUCUUGGUUUUUGGGGUGGGCUUUCACAAGUUCACCCCAACCAAUUUUUGCAAAACUACUUUUCAAUUGUCAUGGAAUUAUUACUUGUUAUUAAUAAAUAUAAUGACAACUUUUAACGGUGGAUCUCUUGGCUCGUGGAUC